rnacentral:rRNA from 1 species
CCUACGGGAGGCAGCAGUGGGGAGUAUUGGACAAUGGGGGCAACCCUGAUCCAGCAAUGCCGCGUGAGUGAUGAAGGCCCUAGGGUUGUAAAGCUCUUUCGGCGGGGAAGAUGAUGACGGUACCCGCAGAAGAAGCCCCGGCUAACUUCGUGCCAGCAGCCGCGGUAAU